rnacentral:snRNA from 1 species
GUGCUCACUUUGGUAGCACAUAUACUAAAAUUGGAAUGAUACAGAGAAGAUUAGCAUGGCCCAUGCUCAAGGAUGACACGCAAACUCGUGAAGCGUUCUGUAUUUUU